AGCCUGCUGGGGUGAAGCCAAGAUGCAGGAAUUUAGGAAUCUGGUGGCAGGAUCUCCCAUUUCCCCUGCAGGGUUGGGACAACUGGAGGAAGCAGAAGACGGAGAACCAACACAGGCACAUAUCUUCCUAAAGAAGAAAGAAUGAAGAUGCAGAAGAAAAAGGAAGAAGAAAUUUGGACUAGAAAGGAAGGGAGGAAAAGCUUCUCAGACAUCGCUACUGAAAAACAGCAAGGAACAUAGAUGGCAGAAAAGAAGAUCGCGCUGGAUCAUGGGGCAUCAUGGCAGGCAGGAAGUGCCUCCCCGUUUAUAAUAUCUGGGGGGCUCCCCUCCACAUUUCUGACCAGGCCUUGGGACAAAGGAAGAAAAGUCUGACCCAGAAAAUCCAUCCCUAGUUUUAAACCAAAUCUGAUCCA